GGAGAGGUGCCGGAGUGGUUGAACGGGCCGCUCUCGAAAAGCGGUAAGGAUGAAAGUCCUUCGAGGGUUCGAAUCCCUCCCUCUCCGCCA
rnacentral:tRNA from 1 species